UGACGAGUCCCAGAUAGGACGAAACGCGCGUC
rnacentral:hammerhead_ribozyme from 1 species